GUGCCAGCAGCCGCGGUAAUACGUAGGGUGCAAGCGUUAAUCGGAAUUACUGGGCGUAAAGCGUGCGCAGGCGGUUUUGUAAGUCUGUCGUGAAAGCCCCGGGCUCAACCUGGGAAUUGCGAUGGAGACUGCAAGGCUUGAAUCUGGCAGAGGGGGGUAGAAUUCCACGUGUAGCAGUGAAAUGCGUAGAGAUGUGGAGGAACACCGAUGGCGAAGGCAGCCCCCUGGGUCAAGAUUGACGCUCAUGCACGAAAGCGUGGGGAGCAAACAGGAUUAGAUACCCUGGUAGUCCACGCCCUAAACGAUGUCUACUAGUUGUCGGGUUUUAAUUAACUUGGUAACGCAGCUAACGCGUGAAGUAGACCGCCUGGGGAGUACGGUCGCAAGAUUAAAACUCAAAGGAAUUGACGG
rnacentral:rRNA from 1 species